rnacentral:lncRNA from 1 species
AACUGUAUUGAUUUCCUUCCACGGUGAGUCUCUGAGACCUAGUUUUGGCAGAAGGAAGUACCAGAGGGAGCUGAGCUGUUGAACGUUAUGUGCGACCAUGUAAUAACUGCAAUCGGAAGGGAAACACUCAGAGUCCUGGAGAAAGAGAAAUUUGCAUUUGUGGACACCUGCUGGGAGCUAGGCACUUUCGAAUAGUUCCUGUCACCUAACUUAAAAUUUCAUAUUCAAAGGACAGCUCUCUUGUUAGAAGGGGUCCAGGCUGAACACCCUCUUUUCUCUCAAUGAUCCCAGCUAUGACACAGUUUUCUGAUCUUCAACAUCCUGGAGGCCCAAGACUAUUCAAAUACGUCACAAAUAUCUCUAAUCACAUCUUGUGAUUAUGACUUGGAUAGAAGAUAAACAUUAUUUCCAUAAUGAUGAACAUAAGACAUUUGA